UUUGUUUGAAGGCUGAGCAGAUGGGGAUAGCUGCUGGGUUUGGAGGAUGUGGAGAAAUUUGAGCGAGGCCAAGAGAGCAGGUGGAAGAGUUCUGGAUGUUUUCAUGCUGUUAAUGCUUAAUUUCCAUGGAAGCGCAGUGGCUGUGGUGUUACCUCUGUAUAGAAGGUUAAAACCAUGAUUAGGUGUUAUCUGCAGCAGGUUUUAUGAGUGUUAAAUUAAUGCAGCAACCAGGAAGGUACUUGGAAGGGCAAGAGGGCUGGUGUUCUCUGCUCAGUUCUGGCAGCUGGAUGUGUGCCAGCUCUGAGGUUUUUUUUCUGCUAUUUGCCCAACUACCUCACAAUUAGACCUUCGGAGCUUUCUGAGGCUCUUCUUACUCUUUUCAACUGCAUUUCCUGUUCUCCUUCCCAUACCAUGUCUGACAGCUGUACAUCCUUGGUGUAAUUUAAGUUUUCCACUGAGAGUGGAGAUCAGCUGGACUUCUGUGCUGAGAUACCUUCAGCUGAAGUUGAGUGUAGUCCUGCAGUCUGCUUCACCGGCUCUGGUGUUGGAGCAGCUGUUAAUUCAUUUUGGUGGUCUAGUCGUUGUCAGAUUAGCUUUCUGUUGAACCUGACUGUCAAAUCUCAUACAAGCCAAGUGGGCAGUCAGAAGAAGAGGUCCUGUCUUAUUGUGCAAAUCCACCAGGAGGAGCCUAGCAGGAUAACAAAAGUAUUAAUUGGAUUGCUGAAGGAUGCUGUGGCUAUCUACUUUGGGAUCUCACUUUCUUUAGAUAUUGGAAUUUCACAGUAGAGGGUUUUUAUGUGAUGGUUGCUGUUUCUAGAACCAGAAUAAAUGAUGAUGACAACUGUGGCUACUUUCCAAACC
rnacentral:lncRNA from 1 species